UUAAAAGCUCGUAGUUGGAUUCCUGGCCUGGGGUAGCCGGUCCGCCUUGCAAAAGGUGCGCACUGUGCGGCCUCGGCCAUCCUUGAGAAGAGCUGUUCUGGCAUUCAGUUGUCGGGGCGGGGAUUCUCGACGUUUACUGUGAAAAAAUCAGAGUGUUCAAAGCAGGCUUACGCCUUGAAUACAUUAGCAUGGAAUAAUGAGAUAGGACCUUGGCGGUCUAUUUUGUUGGUUUGCACGCCGAGGUAAUGAUUAAAAGGGACGGUUGGGGUUCUUCGUAUUCAAUUGUCAGAGGUGAAAUUCUUGGAUUUAUGGAAGACGAACUGCUGCGAAAGCGUCGAACAAGGACGUUCUCAUUAAUCAAGAACGAAAGUUAGGGGAUCGAAGAUGAUUAGAUACCAUCGUAGUCUUAACCAUAAACUAUGCCGAUUCAGGAUUGGCGGUCGUUUGUUCUCGACUCCGUCAGCACUGUAUGAGAAAUCAAAAUCUUUGGGUUCCGGGGGGAGUAUGGUCGCAAGGCUGAAACUUAAAGAAAUUGACGGAAGGGCACCACCAGGAGUGGAGCCUGCGGCUUAAUUUGACUCAACACGGGGAAACUUACCAGGUCCAGACAUAGUAAGGAUU
rnacentral:rRNA from 1 species